UGAGGAAUAUUGGACAAUGGGCGCAAGCCUGAUCCAGCCAUGCCGCGUGAGGGAUGAAGGUCUUCGGAUUGUAAACCUCUUUUAUUCGGGAAUAAGAAAUCUAUGGAAACAUAGAGAGUGAAUGUACCGAAUGAAUAAGCCACGGCUAACUUCGUGCCAGCAGCCGCGGUAAUACGAAGGUGGCAAGCGUUACUCGGAAUUACUAGGCGUAAAGGGCAGGUAGGUGGUUUGAUAAGUCUGUUGUGAAAGCUCCUGGCUUAACUGGGAGAGGUCAACAGAAACUAUCAGGCUUGAGUAUGGGAGAGGGUACUGGAAUUCCCGGUGUAGCGGUGAAAUGCGCAGAGAUCGGGAGGAACACCUAUGGCGAAAGCAGGUACCUGGACCAUUACUGACACUCAGCUGCGAAAGCUAGGGGAGCAAACAGGAUUAGAUACCCCCGUAGUCCCUGAGCGGGCUGGCAAGGCGCAU
rnacentral:rRNA from 1 species